rnacentral:rRNA from 1 species
UUGAACGCUGGCGGCAGGCCUAACACAUGCAAGUCGAACGGUAACAGGAAGAAGCUUGCUUCUUUGCUGACGAGUGGCGGACGGGUGAGUAAUGUCUGGGAAACUGCCUGAUGGAGGGGGAUAACUACUGGAAACGGUAGCUAAUACCGCAUAACGUCGCAAGACCAAAAAGGGGGACCUUCGGGCCUCUUGCCAUCGGAUGUGCCCAGAUGGGAUUAGCUAGUAGGUGGGGUAACGGCUCACCUAGGCGACGAUCCCUAGCUGGUCUGAGAGGAUGACCAGCCACACUGGAACUGAGACACGGUCCAGACUCCUACGGGAGGCAGCAGUGGGAAUAUUGCACAAUGGGCGCAAGCCUGAUGCAGCCAUGCCGCGUGUAUGAAGAAGGCCUUCGGGUUGUAAAGUACUUUCAGCGGGGAGGAAGGGAGUAAAGUUAAUACCUUUGCUCAUUGACGUUACCCGCAGAAGAAGCACCGGCUAACUCCGUG